rnacentral:lncRNA from 1 species
CAUGGAACUGGAGUUCCGUAACUCUCAUAACAUGGGAGUGGCCUUCCAUACCCGUGAUAACAAGGGCCUCCACCAUGUCCUUGAUAACAUUCCAUGCAACACGCUCUCACCGGCGGUGGGUAGUCUGGUAUUAGUUCAGGAGCCUUAGGUGGCGGCGCAGGUGCCGGUGCUGGAGCUGGCGCCGGCGCCGGAGCCGGAGCCUUAGGUGGCGGUGCAGGUGCAGGUGCUGGUGCCGGUGCUGGAGCCGGAGCCGGAGCCUUAGGCUUUUCUGCUUGCUUUGGCUUUUCUGGCUCUUUAGGCUUCUCUGGUUGUUUAGGCUUCUCGGGCUCCUUAGGCUUCUCUUUAGGCUUCUCGGGUUCCUUAGGCUUUUCAGGCUGUUUAGGCUUCUCAGGCUCCUUGGGCUUCUCUUGUGGUUUAGGUUUCUCAGGAACUUUAAUCUCAAUACCCUUGACAGAAUCACCACCUUUGCAGCAAAUCUUCUUCUUGAUCUUUUCUGGGCUGCAACACACCACAGUGAUAGUCACCGUGUUCGCCUUCUCAUCAUAUAUCUGAUUCUGAAUUUCUCUUGUACACAACGCCAAUCAAAUCACAAAAAUAACUGAGUCACUUU